GACGAACGCUGGCGGCGUGCUUAACACAUGCAAGUCGAACGGUGAAGCGCCUUCCUUUUUGGUGGGUGUGGAUGAGUGGCGAACGGGUGAGUAACACGUGAGUCACCUGCCCCCUUCUUCUGGAUAACCGCAUGCAAGUGUGGCUACUACGUGAUAUUCUGGGUCUGUCGCAUGAUUGGUCUGGGAAAGAUUUUGUUUCGGUUGGGGAUGGGCCGGCGGCCUAUCAGCUUGUUGGUGGGGUGAUGGCCUACCAAGGCGGUGACGGGUAGCCGGCCCGAGAGGGUGGACGGCCACACAGGGAAGGAGACACGGCGCAGACUCCUACGGGAGGCAGCAGGGGGGAUUAUGGCACGAGGGACGCAAGCCUGAUGCAGCGACGCCGCGUGAGUGAUGGAGGCCUUCGGGUUGUGAACCUCUUUCGCCAGUGAAGCAGGCCUUCCGCGUUUGUGGAUGGGUUGACGGUAGCUGGAUAAGAAGCGCCGGCUAACUACGUG
rnacentral:rRNA from 1 species